UCCAAAAGGUUGGUUUGGUGUU
rnacentral:miRNA from 1 species